GAUGAAGAACGUAGCGAAAUGCGAUAAGUAAUGUGAAUUGCAGAAUUCAGUGAAUCAUCGAAUCUUUGAACGCACAUUGCGCCCAUUAGCAUUCUAGUGGGCAUGCCUGUUCGAGCGUCAUUUCAACCCUUAAGCCCUGUUGCUUAGCGUUGGGAGCCUACAGUACUGUAGCUCCCCAAAGUUAGUGGCGGAGUCGGUUUCACACUCUAGACGUAGUAAUUUUUUCUCGUCUGUAGUUGAGCCGAUCCCCUGCCGUAAAACACCCAAUUUAUCAAGGUUGACCUCGGAUCAGGUAGGAAUACCCGCUGAACUUAAGCAUAUCAAUAAGCGGAGGA
rnacentral:misc_RNA from 1 species